UACGUAGGGUGCAAGCGUUAAUCGGAAUUACUGGGCAUAAAGCGUGCGCAGGCGGCUUUGCAAGACAGAUGUGAAAUCCCCGGGCUCAACCUGGGAACUGCAUUUGUGACUGCAAGGCUAGAGUACGGUAGAGGGGGAUGGAAUUCCGCGUGUAGCAGUGAAAUGCGUAGAUAUGCGGAGGAACACCGAUGGCGAAGGCAAUCCCCUGGACCUGUACUGACGCUCAUGCACGAAGGCGUGGGGAGCAAACAGG
rnacentral:rRNA from 1 species